rnacentral:rRNA from 1 species
GUCAGACUUUUAUAGUGGUGAAAUUUUAAAGUGUAAUAAGCUUAUAACAUCUAUAUUGGUGAAAUGAUAUUUAUAAACUUGUAUAAACUAUAUAAAGAACCUAAUAUUGACUAUAAACAAGGAUUAGAUACCCUUCUAUACAAUACUUACAUAUUUCUACACUGAGCACUAAGACCUUCUAAGGUUAAAACUCAAAUAGCAUGGCGGUAAUUUUAAAAUUUAGGGGAACUUACCAAGUAAUUGAUAGCCACCAAGGAAAUCUACUUUAAUGUAAUAUUUUGUAUGCCGUCGUCAACACAUAAUAUAUAAUAUAUUAUCUUAUUAGUAUCAGUAACUAAUAGUACAUAUCAGUGCACAUUAUCGUAAAGUUUAGGCGAGUUACAAUUUUGUUAAGCGAAAAUUGACUUGAAAAAUCAAUUGAAGGAGGACUUAAAUGUAAUUUAAAAUUACUCAUAAAAAAUGAAUAAAUUAUAAAAUUGUGUACAA